GCCCCGAUGGCGGAAUUGGUCAGACGCUGUCGACUUAAAAUCGACUGCCGCAAGGCAUGCGGGUUCGAGUCCCGCUCGGGGUA
rnacentral:tRNA from 1 species